AUUGAACGCUGGCGGCAGGCUUAACACAUGCAAGUCGAGCGGAGAUGAGGUGCUUGCACCUUAUCUUAGCGGCGGACGGGUGAGUAAUGCUUAGGAAUCUGCCUAUUAGUGGGGGACAACAUUCCGAAAGGAAUGCUAAUACCGCAUACGUCCUACGGGAGAAAGCAGGGGAUCUUCGGACCUUGCGCUAAUAGAUGAGCCUAAGUGGGAUUAGCUAGUUGGUGGGGUAAAGGCCUACCAAGGCGACGAUCUGUAGCGGGUCUGAGAGGAUGAUCCGACAGACUGGGACUGAGACACGGCCCAGACUCCUACGGGAGGCAGCAGUGGGGAAUAUUGGACAAUGGGGGGAACCCUGAUCCAGCCAUGCCGCGUGUGUGAAGAAGGCCUUAUGGUUGUAAAGCACUUUAAGCGAGGAGGAGGCUACUGAGACUAAUACUCUUGGAUAGUGGACGUUACUCGCAGAAUAAGCACCGGCUAACUCUGUGCCAGCAGCCGCCGUAAUAC
rnacentral:rRNA from 1 species